rnacentral:rRNA from 1 species
AUGAACGCUAGCUACAGGCUUAACACAUGCAAGUCGAGGGGAAACGACAUCGAAAGCUUGCUUUUGAUGGGCGUCGACCGGCGCACGGGUGAGUAACGCGUAUCCAACCUGCCCACCACUUGGGGAUAACCUUGCGAAAGUAAGACUAAUACCCAAUGAUAUCUCUAGAAGGCAUCUGAAAGAGAUUAAAGAUUUAUCGGUGAUGGAUGGGGAUGCGUCUGAUUAGCUUGUUGGCGGGGUAACGGCCCACCAAGGCAACGAUCAGUAGGGGUUCUGAGAGGAAGGUCCCCCACAUUGGAACUGAGACACGGUCCAAACUCCUACGGGAGGCAGCAGUGAGGAAUAUUGGUCAAUGGACGAGAGUCUGAACCAGCCAAGUAGCGUGCAGGAAGACGGCCCUAUGGGUUGUAAACUGCUUUUAUAAGGGAAUAAAGUGAGUCUCGUGAGACUUUUUGCAUGUACCUUAUGAAUAAGGACCGGCUAAUUCCGUGCCAGCAGCCGCGGUAAUACGGAAGGUCCGGGCGUUAUCCGGAUUUAUUGGGUUUAAAGGGAGCGUAGGCCGGAGAUUAAGCGUGUUGUGAAAUGUAGAUGCUCAACAUCUGAACUGCAGCGCGAACUGGUUUCCUUGAGUACGCACAAAGUGGGCGGAAUUCGUGGUGUAGCGGUGAAAUGCUUAGAUAUCACGAAGAACUCCGAUUGCGAAGGCAGCUCACUGGAGCGCAACUGACGCUGAAGCUCGAAAGUGCGGGUAUCGAACAGGAUUAGAUACCCUGGUAGUCCGCACGGUAAACGAUGGAUGCCCGCUGUUGGUCUGAAUAGGUCAGCGGCCAAGCGAAAGCAUUAAGCAUCCCACCUGGGGAGUACGCCGGCAACGGUGAAACUCAAAGGAAUUGACGGGGGCCCGCACAAGCGGAGGAACAUGUGGUUUAAUUCGAUGAUACGCGAGGAACCUUACCCGGGCUCAAACGCCGCAGGGAUCACUUUUGAAAGGGAGUGAGCCAGCAAUGGACUGCGGCGAGGUGCUGCAUGGUUGUCGUCAGCUCGUGCCGUGAGGUGUCGGCUUAAGUGCCAUAACGAGCGCAACCCCUCUCCUUAGUUGCCAUCAGGUCAAGCUGGGCACUCUGGGGACACUGCCACCGUAAGGUGUGAGGAAGGUGGGGAUGACGUCAAAUCAGCACGGCCCUUACGUCCGGGGCUACACACGUGUUACAAUGGCAGGUACAGAGAGACGGUCCCUUGCAAAACGGAUCAAAUCCUUAAAGCCUGUCUCAGUUCGGACUGGGGUCUGCAACCCGACCCCACGAAGCUGGAUUCGCUAGUAAUCGCGCAUCAGCCAUGGCGCGGUGAAUACGUUCCCGGGCCUUGUACACACCGCCCGUCAAGCCAUGAAAGCCGGGGGCGCCUAAAGUCCGUGACCGUAAGGAGCGGCCUAGGGCGAAACUGGUAAUUGGGGCU